rnacentral:rRNA from 1 species
GAUGAACGCUGGCGGCGUGCCUAAUACAUGCAAGUCGAGCGGCAGCGCGGGGCAACCUGGCGGCGAGCGGCGAACGGGUGAGUAAUGCAUCGGAACGUGUCCCGUAGUGGGGGAUAACCCGGCGAAAGCCGGACUAAUACCGCAUAUUCUCUACGGAGGAAAGGGGGGGACCCGCAAGGGCCUCUCGCUAUGGGAGCGGCCGAUGUCCGAUUAGCUUGUUGGUGAGGUAAUGGCUUACCAAGGCGACGAUCGGUAGCUGGUCUGAGAGGAUGAUCAGCCACACUGGGACUGAGACACGGACCAGACUCCUACGGGAGGCAGCAGUGGGGAAUUUUGGACAAUGGGGGCAACCCUGAUCCAGCCAUGCCGCGUGCGGGAAGAAGGCCUUCGGGUUGUAAACCGCUUUUGUCCGGAAAGAAAAGGCGCCACCUAAUACGGGGCGUUCUUGACGGUACCGGAAGAAUAAGCACCGGCUAACUACGUGCCAGCCGCCGCAGUAA